rnacentral:tRNA from 1 species
GCUCAUUUGGUAGAGCAUGGUGUUUGCAACGCCAGGGUUGUGGGUUCGAUUCCCAC